CGCCGCUUGCGUCACGACGGGGCUGGGAGGCGCGCGCGCGCCCCCUGGCGGGCGGCGGGGCCGUGAGGGGAGGGAGCGGCCCCGCCCCCUCAGUCCGAAUCCAGCCGGGACAGAGCCCGGAUCCGGCCGGGACAGAGCCCGGAUCCGGCCGGGAAGCAGCCAGACCUCACCGCCCGACCCCACAGAGGCACGAAACGGUGCAGUAAAAAAGAUCUCUUCUGAGGCACGGUACCAUGCAACAGCUCCUACACCUCCGCUCUGAAUCCUCAAGGGAAAAGCAUAAAGGAGUCUGGAACACACCUGCCCUUGCUGGGCUGGGCACCCAGCCAUGCCAUCUGGGACACCAGCGCUCCUUGUCAGGCACCCCGACAUCAAAGACCUGCCUCAACACACAGCCCAGGGCAGCUCCUGGCCCUUGUCCCCCCGGGGAGCCCCCGCCCAGCCUGCGGACACUCACGGCAGUCCUGCUCGUCAGACUUGUCCUUGCAGUCCUCGUCCCCGUCGCACUUCCAGUUGAGGUGGAUGCACUCCCCGUUGCCGCACUGGAACUCGUGGGCCGCGCACGUGUUGAGGGCCUUGGCGUCGUGGCCACACUUCUCCACGGACUCGUCCGACAUGUCCUCGCAGUCGGACUGGUUGUCGCACACCCACAGCUCCGGGAUGCACACGCUGUUGUUGCACUGGAACUCGUUGGGGUUGCACGUCAGGGGGGAGCAUUUCCUUUCGUCGCUGCCGUCCCCGCAGUCGUUGUCACCGUCACACACGAAGAUGAUGGAGAUGCACGACUUGUUACUGCACUGGAACUCGUUGGGAGAACAGGCUUGGGAAUGAAAACAAACGGGUGAGAUGUGAGGUCUCCAAACACCCCUCACCACUGCUCCAGCCUUGGCACAUUAGGAGUGUCUGAGAGAGGGAGGGUGAAGGCAUUCCUGUGGCUGUCCUAAUCCAAAGCAUUUUUCCCAAUGGUAAAAUACAUGGCAAGGAGCAGGUGAAGAGCCAACACUCAUCUCCCCAGCUGUGCCACAGCAUGAUCCUCUACUGGCCUUGGGCAGCGCUGAAGGAGAAGGGGCAGCGGGGCUGUGGGAACUGCAGGUGGGAGAAGUGGGGGCAGCGCUGCCCUGGGGUUGGGGCAGGAGCAGCCAGGUGAGCCCCUUCCACGAGGUGACAGCACGGGAAGAGUGGGACAUGGCAGGGGAGAGGCUGGGCUGUGCUUUGCUCCGCGCUGACAUUACCAGCUUCCUGACUUUCAUCAUUCACAAUCAGGUUUCAGGAUUUCACAGUAUGCCUGGUUUUGGACAUAUUAAGUGGGAUGUGUAGGGUAAAUAUUUAGUGAGUCGAGCAUCAAUUUAGCUGCAAUCUGCCAGUAAGGCCCUUUACAACACACUGAAUGCCUUCCCUGGAAAUCACAACUCAACAUUAACAUACAAAUGAGGCGCUUGUCAGAUAGAAGCUGAGUGGAGAACUCUCCUCUGCAAGCCUAACGGACAGCUGAACCAGAGAAGCCUGUGCAAAUUAAACUUUCAGGUACUCCAACAACCUGCAUUGUAGUCACUUAAAUUCAUCAAAGUGUGGGGGAACCAAAACCCUGGAAGAGAUUCUCCGUUAGUACUUUGAGGUAGUUACUUCCAAAAGAAUUCUGCCUUUGCAGUUUCAGUCACCUACAGGAAUUAAGGCUUUGAUAAAUUAAAGUACAAUAAAUACAUACAUAUAAAUUACAAUAAGCUUUUUUUUUUACAUUGCACUGAGGACUUUUUUUUUUUUUUACACUGGGAAUCUUUUUGUCUUCAGAAGCAGAACCAUUUACUGCUGUACCUGCAGAGCCCCUACGAUGAACCACAGUUUAGAUGGUACCAAUCACUGCAAUGUCAAGUGCACAUGGAAAGCAGCAGAAUCCCUGUAAAGUUGUCAUAUCCAAUGACAGGAACCCAGUGGUAUUCAACUGAAAUAUUAUCCCUGUUUUAUAGCUCUAUUUAUCUAAUAAUUAAGAACAUGUUCACUUGCACAGAUGCUUAUUUCCAUUGUAGCUUGCAAACGUGCUGGGCUCUGUUAACCUAAGCAGCCUGUCAUUUACACCAGAGCAUGACAAUAUACAGGCACCUGUCCCCUCCUGCCCUGUGCUCUGUCCCAUUUACUCCCAGGUUUUCCAGAUGUUACAGAACAACACUCUGCCUAAUUAGAAGAGAAGGAGGAUUGCCUUCCUUGGUGCAAUACCACCAUGCACUGGCCAGGACCCAGGCUCCCCCCAACAGGGAGACUCUCAGCUGCCCAACCUGACACCAGUAAUAAAAUGCAGCAGAGAGGUCACCAAAGGAACACUGUUACACUCCACAGCAUCAGCUGCUCCAGGUGGGAUGCUCAGGCUCCUUCUGUACUUGGUAUUUUGGGUAUAGAGAUGCCCCCAACAGGCACUUGUCCCUUGAAGAAGGCAGUAUUUCUCCUCUUUAAAGAGAAGGAACUGAGAUCAGACAACUAAUAUCAGGACCCAAAAUACAAGCGCAGUCUGGUGGAGAAGCAUCUAACCCCCUCCCUUUUGCAUGGCAGAAUUGAGACCAUUAAAAUGCUCUGAUUUUCA